rnacentral:rRNA from 1 species
AUUGAACGCUAGCGGGAUGCCUAACACAUGCAAGUCGAACGGAGUGGCGAACGGGUGAGUAAUGUAUCGGAACGUGCCCAUUAGCGGGGGAUAACUACGCGAAAGCGUAACUAAUACCGCAAACUAGUGGAGCGGGCGAUAUGGGAUUGGCUAGUUGGUGGGGUAAGGGCUCACCAAGGCGACGAUCAUUAGCUGGUUUGAGAGGACGACCAGCCACACUGGGACGGAGACACGGCCCAGACUCCUACGGGAGGCAGCAGUGGGGAAUUUUGGACAAUGGGGGAAACCCUGAUCCAGCCAUCCCGCGUGUGCGAUGAAGGCCUUCGGGUUGUAAAGCACUUUUGGCAGGAAAGCGGUACCUGCAGAAUAAGCACCGGCUAACUACGUGCCAGCCGCCGCGGUAAUUC